GCUGCGGCUCGCGAGGGGACACGCACGCACGGACACCGUCAGUUCGCCAUGGCUCUGCUCGCCAGCGCGCCACCAAUCUUCCACCUCCAGUUUCCCCUCGCCACCGCGCGCGCCUUUCACCUCCUCCCUCAUUCCACAACCAGACCCACGCCCACCCACCGCCGCCGUUCCCUCUCCGCCCGCGCAUCCGACUCCGACGCUCCGCAGCAGGUCAACCUCUCCGUCCUCCGCUUCACCCUCGGGAUCCCCGGGCUGGACGAGUCGUAUCUCCCGAGGUGGAUAGGCCUCGGCUUCGGCGCACUCGUGCUCCUCAACCACCUCCUCUCGCCGUCCCCUACUCCCGCCCAGCUCAGGUCGGAGGCUCUGGGCCUGUGCCUGGCCGCGUUCUCGGCGGCGCUGCCGUACCUCGGCAGGUUUCUAGAGGGUGCCGGUGCUGCCGGCCGUGUGCCGUUGCCUGAGGGGAGCAGGCAGGUGUUUGUGAUUCCUGAAGAUAUGUCGGCGGCUCAGAAGGAGGAUAUGGCAUGGGCGACCUACGUUCUGCUGCAGAACACAAACACCACGUCUGUGCUCAUAGCAAUUGGCAAUGUGUUGUGCAUACGAGGAUACUGGGAUCCUCCUGCGGAUAUUUCUAAAUAUGCCAUGAUUGAGUGGUUCAAGAGCCAAAUGGAGCAAGCUGGACUUGUUAAUCUGAGCAGUGCUUUGUACUUGCCUAAUUUUUCUGACACUCAGCUUGGCAAGAUUCUACCGCAAGGAAUUCUUUCUGUGUUGGCACAACCAAUUGUGAGCAACCCUGAUCGAGCUAAUGGUGAAACAGAAGUUGAAGGAGUUGUCCUGUUGGCCUCCAAUGCAAAUUAUGCAUAUAGCGAGAAAGAUAGAGUAUGGAUAAGAACGGUUGCAAAUAAAUUUCGACGUGCAUAGUUCAACGAUGCCCAAGGCACCAGUGUAAAAAAUAGCGGUUUCACAAGGCUUGGGGUGUGUGCAAUAGAAUGGCGGGCGCAAACUGGUAUUGGCGCUUCUCCUUGGCAACUUAGACAAGGACACAAGAAAAUACUGUUCCACGGAUUUCAGUCUUGACUGCAAGUUCUUUUCCAAUAAGCCCCAGUUUCACUAUCAGUCAUAUUGAUGAACGGACAGGAGUUCAGGUAUGUUGAUGGCAGGCCACCAGCUCAGUUCAAAUGGUAAAACCCCCAGCUGAACAUAACCUGGCUACAGCGCACUAAGCGCCUUGUCAAGUUACAACUAAGGGAAUAGCAUAGUUCAACACAAGAUAACAACCCAGACUGGCAAACAAUAAUUGCCCUCUUACAACUAAAGCGACCCUAUCGCCCAGCAGAAUCAUUCAGGCUCUUCAAAAUCAUCUUUGAUGUCAUUGCCUUCAGUUCCUUGGACCAUCAUCAGCCUUUUGUGCAGCAGCAGGGCUUCAAACAUGAUUACAGAGAGCAUUGGUUCUAAGAUGUCAGCAUCAGUAGUCAGCAAGUCAUUCUCAUUCCCUUAUUGUAAACCUGCCCAGUAUUUUAAGAACGAACAUGUAUAGCAAUUAGCAAUUACCUAAGCAGGCUAUAUGUCUUAUUUUCCAAAUCACCCAGCCCAUUGCGGCUAUACCCACAACCUGAAUGUUAUAUCCCACAUGUAAUUAGUGUUUACUGCAAUAUGAUGGUUAUAUCAGAAUUUGCACGAAAACUUCCACCCCAUACGGGGCAGUUGGCCACUGCCCUCUAUCCACCAAGAGCUCUGGUUGCACUAAAACCAUGACAAGUAUUUAGGAACAGAGGGAGUAUCUUGUAUAUAUGUGCCAAAAACUUGUGAAUGCAGCCAGUGACUGAUUUUAUGCCUUGCCAUUUCAAA